GCAAGCGUUGUCCGGAAUUAUUGGGCGUAAAGAGCUCGUAGGCGGUGUGUCGCGUCGGCCGUGAAAACCUGGGGCUUAACUCUGGGCUUGCGGUCGAUACGGGCAUCACUUGAGUUCGGCAGGGGAGACUGGAAUUCCUGGUGUAGCGGUGAAAUGCGCAGAUAUCAGGAGGAACACCGGUGGCGAAGGCGGGUCUCUGGGCAGUAACUGACGC
rnacentral:rRNA from 1 species